AUAAUUGUAAUAUACGAUUUUUUUGUGUUUUAAAUGCAAUCAAAUCCGGUUUUUAAUUAUAACCUAUAAUAGUAUUCUUUAAAUUGGGCUAGAAAAUUAAUAACUUAUCUUGCGUCGAGAAGUUUCUUCUUUUCUGAAAAGCGUAGAUAACAGUCGAUUAACUGUUUAGUUUACAUAAUAUUCCUAAUGCCUAGGUAUAUAGGAUGAUCAAUUUAUCGUAAGACACUUGUUGCAUAGGGAAGUAUUAUCUUUUUCUGGAAUUUGUUUUCUAGAAUAUUUAAGAAACAAGCUGCCCCACAGUUUUAUAUUUAUGUUAUUUUUUUGUCACCCUUAUUUUUGGGGAUAAAAACAACUACCUACUUUUGAAUUUCAAAGUAUAGACAAAGUAUUAGUUAAAAUAAAUUUGAGUAUUCGACGGAAUAGUAUCAUUUGUACUCGUAUUGUUUUUAUUUUGGACAUGUUUAGUCUAUAGUAAAAUAAAAUGUGCGACUAAAAGAGUAAAGUUUCCGUUUCUCUUAUCGGCAACGCCGAAUGUCAACAAAUGUCUGUGAUAUUUUAUUGUAAGAAUUGAUAUUU